ensembl:lncRNA
AUGAACAUUCUUUUCAAGUUCCCUAUCAUCAGUUCUUUUGCGUGUAUACUCAGAAGUGAAAUUGUUGGAUUAUAUGGUGUUGAUCCUGAGUGCUUUGUUAAAAACAUUCUGCAUGCUGACCUCCGUCUCAGUGUUUGCUUCCUGGGGAAACCUGAAACAGGACUCGAUGCUAGAAGCUAUCCAGAAGAACCAGAUUGGCCACUGUCCUUGCCAGAAGAUCCGAUCUCCUGUCUAUGGCCACCACCUAACACUGCUCACUUCUACAUCUAAACCUCAGGUAGGUGUGUCUGUUUGGAAGAACUGUAGGUAAAGGGAGUCUUCAAAAUUUAGCGUUUAGUUUAUAAUAGAGGAUGUUGUGCUAGAAGAAGGGUUGGAUGGGUGCAAAUUGGGUAAGACAGCUUACAAUAUCUGCCACAGUUGAACCCUACAUCAUUCAGUGUUCAUUUAUUCUUUUCAUAUUGAAAAUACAAAUAAUAACAGAAAGAACAACAUGCACCUGACAAACAUAAUGCAAUGAUUCCUCCUGCAUUCUUACCCCUCUCCCUAAAAAGGAGUAAAACAGUUAGUCACCAUAUCUAUCACUGAAUGAUGUUCAUUUCUACUCCAAUUUAGUCACAAUCUCAUCUUCUUAUCUUGUAUCCUAGGGAUUAAAUGAUAAAAGUAACACCAGCAUUUUAAGAUAAUGAAAAUUGAUUUAAAAAAAUGAGGAAGAACAUGAUGAGCAGCUGUAACCAGUCAUGCUCUUCUUUUUUAACUUAUCACAAGUUUAUGGUAGACAUUUAUAGCUUCCUCCUCUACCCAUUCAAUGUUUACUGUGACUUCAUUCAGCAUCUCUCCUGGCCUGAGUUCUUUUCCUGAUGAAACAAUAAUCAUUUUUGUGCCCGAGAGGUCUGAACGUUGGCAACCCUACUUGUACGAGGUUGCUAUGGUUUCUGGGGGAAUUUAUUUAUUUUUUAAUUGUGGUAAAAUAUGCAAAACAUGAAAGAUACCAUAGUUGCCAUUUGUAAGUGUAUGAUUUAGUAACGUUAAGCAUAUUCACAAUGUUCUGUAACCAUCACCGUUACCUAUUUCUAGAACUUUUUCAUCAUAUAAAACAGAAAUUUUGUACUUAUUAAGCAAUAUCUCCCUCAUUCCACCUCUCCCCAGCCUAGUCUCUGGUAACUUCUAGUCUACUUUCUAUGAAUUUGCAUAUUUUGGAUUAUUCAUAUGAGUGAAAUUGUACAAUAUUUGCCCUUUUGUGUCUGGUUUAUUAGCAUAAGGUCUUCAAGGUUCAUUUAUGUUGUAACAUGGAUCAGAAUUUCACUCCUUUUUAAGACUGAAUAAUAUUCCAUUCCAGGCAUAUACCACAUUUUGUUUAUCCAUUCAUCCAUUGAUGCAUGCUUGAUCUGUUUCCAUCUUUGGAUUACUGUGAAUGCUGCUGUGAAUACUGGUAUACAAGUAUUUCUUUGACCUUCGACUCUUUGCUUUCAAGUCUUUCGGGGACACACACACACACACCCCUUUGGAUAUAGAUACACAUGUAUACCUUUUGGAUAUAAAUACAUAUAUACACACACACAUAUACCUUUUGGAUAUAC